CGUAUAAUUGGUCCCCGUACUUUUAGAACCAAAAGGGUCGGUGCAUCGUGACGCACAUCCAACAUCUUAAAUUCUUAAUAACUUCUCUCCCCCCAAAAAAUGCACCCUUAAUUUGGACCAAACUCAUCUAAAUUAAACAAACCAGAAAAGGCGCGCAAGCAGAUAUAUAGUACACAGCAAAACACGGCCGAAGCUGUUGAUGAUCAAGUAGUAGGGGCUAGUAUGCAGCUACUAUUACGUAGCAACCAUGUAUAUUUAAGAGCAAAGGUUAAUAAUACAACGGGCUGCUGUUUGUAGGGAUCUUUGCAGCCUAUCUCUUAGUCUACUCUUACAAUAGUUAACUUUUCACCAUUAAUACAUGGCACACAUGGCUCACUUGUCUCUCUCACAAAGUUUAUUGGUUCUUGUGCCGAAGCCGGCUGUAAACUUAUAGCCCGCUUCUCCUCCCUCUUCUCUUCUCUCUUCUCCAUCUCAGCAUUCAAUCUGCUUACAGCCUAUCAUAAUACUUGAUCUCAUCAC
rnacentral:lncRNA from 1 species